GUCAACACGUAUCACGCUGUCCUCGCCGAUUUGUACAAGUACAGUUUCGUUGUCCACGCGACGCUGAUAGUCCAGCCCGCGCAUUUCGUAGUUUUACAUUCAAUAGUUUAGUUAGUGAUUAAGUUUGAGCCCACGCAGUUUAAUAAUUAAGUGUUUCUCUGUCCACGCAAAACGUUGUAUAACUCUGUGUACAGUUCUGACCACUCGUGUGUUCCCUGAACUCGCAAGUGACUAUUGUAAAUACUUUCGUGUCAAAUAUAAUUUAUUCGUGAUCGUUACGCAGGCGUGUUAUUUCUGACCAUUCUGACCACGCAAAAUACGCAACAAUUUGACUGUUAUAUCUUGUAAGAAAGCGUGAGUGCGAAGCACGUGUGCACGAGUCGAGUGAUCGAACAAGAAGAAGGAAAUCAAUCAUGGCGUCGAUCGUGCCGGUUCCGCGUGGAGAGGGAACCGCGUGAACAAAGUGGGCCCGAGAGGUGCUGCCGCUAUCGAUAACGACGCAUCGACAAAAUACUUUCGUUGCUAACUUCGUGUUCUGCGACAAUUUGGGGAAUUUCGCCAACACAUACUGAUACAUUUACAUUUAGAGUAUGUACUUUCGGGGAUACUUUUUAAUGCAAAAAUGUGCAGAGGAAAUAAUUUUUUAUUAUCCUGUGCGUAUACUUUUGACGUAUCAACCAGUUUAUUAGGGAAGAAUUCAUAUUUCGUUCUACAGUUAUCCUUUUCCACUUGCUAACGGCGAAGGAACACCCCGCAAGUAUGCGCGGGCACGCCGCACGUUUUCAAACCUUUGCGCAUUCGAAUUUUCACGCGGGCCGCUGACGUAUUCCUGUCCUUGGUGAAGUGAAAUACAAAAUAUCGAGUGAGUGAGAAAGGCAAUUUGGGCCCUGUCCACCCUUGAGGACAGCAAGGGCUGGAUCGUCAGAAAAACAGUGACCGUCACUAACAAUAAGUCAACAUCAUGAGUACCAAAGAAGUGAGUAAUAAAAAAACUACUGCAGGACGUGACCGGAGUACAUCACGAGACCCGUCAAGGUCUCCCCGACGAAAAAUCUUCGGGAAGGCGGACUCAAUCUCGGGACCGGAGCCGCUCCCGAAAUCCAUCGUCGGGACGGCGGAGUUCGUCACGGGACGUGUCAACGUCUCCCCGACGGGACCGGAGCCGGUCCCAAAAAUCUUCGGGAAUGCGGACUCCAUGUCGGGACCGGAGCCGGUCCCAAAAAUCUUCGGGAAUGCGGACUCCAUGUCGGGACCGGAGCCGCUCCCAAAAACCAUCUUCGGGACAGCGGAGUCCGUUACGGGAGCUGUCAAGGUCUCCCCGACGGGACCAGAGCCGGUCCCGUGGUACGUCGGAGAGGAGAACUCCUCCGCGUGACCGGAGCCGGCCAGCACUGAGUUCCGGCUCGUCUAAAUCUAAAUGCGACAAUUGCGAAUUUUUUAAAGAGCUCGUAGCUCAAUACAAAAAAGAGAUAAAGGAAUUAAAAAGAACCCACCGGGAGAAAUUGUAUGGAGGAAGAUCAAGGGCGGGAAGAGGAGGAAGAGGACGAGGAGGAAAAGGUGGAA